rnacentral:lncRNA from 1 species
AUCCUCUGGAGGAGGUGAAAACAUCAUCAAUCCCCGCGAACUGCAGCACCUUCUUGGGAACCCUAGCCGCCACGAUCCCCGAACCUCUCGGCGCGGGAACCAUCCUAACGGUAACGGAGCCGCACUUCCCCGUAACCUUGCACGGGACGGUGUGGGGCUUCCCGAUCUUGUUCCCCCAGUACCCCCUCCUCACGGGGAUAACAGACAGCUUCGCCAGAAUAAUCGCGCCACGAAUAGCUGUCGCCACUUCCUUGCUGCACUUCACGCCCAGCCCGACGUGGCCGUUGUUGUCUCCGACGACGACGAAGGCCUUGAACCGGGUCCUCUGCCCGGCCCGGGUCUGCUUCUGGACCGGCGUGAUCUUCAUCACCUCGUCCUUGAGGGUGGGACCCACGAGCGUGUCGAUGAUCUGGUGCUCCUUGAUCGGGAGCGAGUGGAGGUAGAUCUGUUCAAGGCUUCGGAUUCUUCCCUCCUUCACCAGGCGGCCCAGUUUGGUCACUGGGACCCACUUCUCCUCUUCCUCGCGGCGGGGGCCUCGGCGCCGGCCUCGGCCCCUGUCACCUCCGCGUCCUCGCCCGCCGAAUCCACGUCCGAAACCGCCACGGUCGCCGCCACGAUCGCCACCUCCGCGCUCUGCCAUUAGGAUGUGUUUCUGAGGAAGAAAAGAGAGUGCGGCGUUUAGAAGAUACGUGGAUUAGGUUUGUAUGUGUUUUUGUAGGGUUUAUGUGGAGAGAGAGAGGGUGUGUUUGGGUAUAUGUUUUGAUGGGAUAAGAUAUUCCUGCUGGGGACAAACUACUGCAAAGGUAAGGGUUUGGUAUAUUAAAAACAAAAAUGCUGGAUAAUAAUAAUAAGAAAAUAUGAAAAAAAGUGAGAAAUAAAAUAAAAAUUAAAGGCGUUAAUUAGAUAGAGAAUAAAUAGAGAAAAGAUAAAAAUAAAUAAAUAAAUGAGAAGUAAUAUAAUAGGUUCCAUUAAAAUAUUUCAACUUUCUUUUUUCAUACCACACAACAUAAAUUAAUUUUAUCUUCUCUUUUACUUCUUUCCUACUAAACAAGAGCAAAAGAAAUUUUAUAAUACAAAAGAAACCAGUACAUUCAAAUAUCUGUGAGUAAAAUUUGUUACAAAUUAGAAAUGAGUAGUUUAGGACUCAUUUAGGGUGGUUGGAAAUUUUUGUUUUCAAAAGCAAUUUUUAAAAUAAAAAAUGUUUAACAAAAAUAAAGUUAAAAUGAUUUUUAACUCAUUUUAAAAUAUAUUUACAUUUGUUUUUUAAAACCAAGAAAAAAAUUAUGAAUUUAAUUUUUAGUUUUGAGAAAACAGGUACUCUCACUCAUUUAACAAUAGUCUUUUCUGUUGUGACCAUUAUAAUUAUUCAUUUUCAAAACCAAUAAAAAAGGAUUUGUGUAUUUAAUUUUUAGUAUUAAAAAAUACACACUUCAUACAUUUGACAAUGGACCUUUUGUUGUCGUCAUCGUCAUUACUCUUAUUAUUACUACCACUUAUUCACAUCAUCGUUAUUACCACUAUCACCAAUGUUAUGGUCAUGGUUGUCGUUGUCACUAUCACCACUAACAUCAGCACUAUUAUAACCAUCAUUGUCAUUAUCGUCACCACCACAAUAUCAAAAGCGUUCUAAGACUAAUUUUAGUAGGAUAAGAAACUUUUAUAGUGAGUUUAUUUUGAAACUAAAAAUUUGGAAGAAAAAAAAACUAAAUUUAAAAACUAAAAUUUGGCUCUUUUUUAAAAAUUUUGAAACUUAGUUAAAAAUCACCCCCAAACUGGGCCUUAAUGAUUAAGGGCUCGUUUGGAGCGAUGGUGAGUUUUUUAUUUUUUAUUUUUAAACCAAAACACAUUUGGCAAAAAAGGGAGUUGAAAUGAUUUUUAACUCAAUUUUAAAACACUUUCUCAUUUGAAAACCAAGAUAAAAGGAUUAAUGAUUUUUAACUUGAUUUUCAACGUUAAAAAAAUUUGCUUUCAUUAUAUUUUACAAUGAUCUUUCUAUUCCCACCACUAUAGCAAUCACCACCGUCAUUGUUGCUGUUAUCAUCACUGUCAUUGUUGUUGUCACCACCACCUUCAGCACUCGCAUUGGCAACACCAUUAUAGUCAUCACAGACACUACCAUCACCACUGAUGACAUUGUCACCGCAAUUGUUGUCAUUGUCUUCGUCAUCAUCACACCACAUAAUAACACCCAUGAUUCCAUUUUAAUUGGACAAUAAAUUUUCAAAAUAAGUUUAUUUUGAAACUAUUUAAAAAAAAAAAAAAGCAAAACCAAAUUUUAAAAUCUAAACGCUGGCUGUUGUUUUUAAAAAUUUUGAAGUUUAAAACUAAAAAUUAGAAAAAAACCAAAACCAAAAUUUAAAAUCUAAAAGUUCGUUGUUGUUUUUUUUUUUUAAAAAAAAAAAGCUUACAAGGGGCCUAAGGUAUUCAUGUAAGUGAGUUCACAUAAUUUAAAAUUACUUAAAUAUCUUUAAUUUUAUAUAAAGUACUAGAAAUUGUACUCAUAUGAUGCAUGUGAGAAUGUUAGGGGAUAUUUGAACUAAUUUGCAUAAACUAAAAGUUAUAUAAAAAAUUAUAUUGCAUAGAAAAUAUUUAUUGAGAGUGCAUUUUUAAGAAAACUAUAUGAAUAGAGAAAAUAUAAAGUGAUAAAUAGAGAAAUGAAUAAAAAUAAAUGAAAAUUAUUAUAGUAGAUUCCAUUAAAAUAUUUUCACUUUUAUACUAGACAACAUAAAUUAAUUUUAUCUUCUCUCUUCUACUUCUUUCCUACUAAACAGGGGCAAAAGAAAUAUAUAGAUAUGUAAAAAUAAAAAAGAAACUAAUACAUACAAAUACUCGUGGGUAAAAUUUGUUACAAAUUAUAAAUGAAUAGUUUUGAGCUCAUUUGAGGUAAUUUGAGGUGAUUGCAAGUUUUUUAUUUUUUAUUUUUAAAUACAAUUUUCAAGAAAUGUGUUUGACAAAAAUAAAGCUAGAAUGAUUUUUAAAAUAUUUUAAUAUUUUAUAUUCAUUUUCAAAACCAAAGAAAAUGAUUUGUGAAUUUGAUUUUAAAAUUUAAAAAAUACACACUCCUUUUUAUUUUUUAUAUUAUAACUCAUUAUAGAAAGUUCUAUGUUGUGUGAUAUGUAAAAAUAUAAUCGACAUUAAAAAUUAAUUUCCAUGAGAAUUUAAUUAAAGUAAUUAAUUUAAAAUUUCAAUUAUAUGUAUAUUAUUUUAUGUGCUAAAUCUAGUAGGAAUUAAAAUUUUAUUAGAAUUGAUUCUUACAUUGUACAAGUUUAAACCAUGUAAAUGUGUAGAUUUACUUUGUGUAUGAUUAAUUGUAAUUUAUCUUUAAUCUCAAGAAAUAUAAUUGACAUUGAAAAUUAAUUUUCAUGAGAAUUUAAUUAAAGUAAUUAAUUUAAAAUUUCAAUUAUAUGUAUAUUAUUUUAUGUGCUAAGUUUAGUAGGAAUUAGAAUUUUAUUAGAAUUGACUUCUACAUUGUAUAAAAUUACACUGUACAGGUUUAGACAGUGUAAAUUCACACCGUGUAUAUUUAUUUUGUAUAUGAUUAAUUGUGAUUCACACUGAAAGUGCUGUCUCAGCAACAACAAUGGCCAAGAUUCCCGCCGCCAAGGUUCCAAGUGCUCGAUUAAACCCUCGAUUAAAUGUUGCUCCUUUAAAAUUCACAACCAUGUAACCAUCAAAAUCCAAUAUACAAAAUACGUGUAUUGUACACAUUGAUAUAUAUAUAAUGCAUAUUAUACUUAGAUGUAUAGCAACAAAUUAGUAAUUCGCAAUGGCACGAUAAUAGCAACAUACCAACAGUACGUGUCCUCGAAUACAAGGAGAGCAGUGAGAAUGGCCCAUACAAUAUUGGGCCCAAAGAUUUGGUAUGGGGCUUCAAAUAAUAUAAGCAAAGACACAAGAAGAACAGCUAGACCAGCUUUGAGUGCAAAUAUUUCUCUACCAGUGUCUUCCUUGCAAAAUUCCCACACACUCUGAAACUGAAACCAAGCCUUGUUGGCUCCAGAUUUCGUGCCACUCUCGUGCAACUCAGGUUUAGUAGGAAUAUAUGAAGCACCGACACUAACACCAGACACGACAUGAACACAUGAACAUCGAACACCUGUAAUGUUCAAAAUAUAGAACAUAAUAUUGGUGUCGUGUCGGUGUCAAACAUUGACACGGACACGUGUCGGACACCGAACACGAUAAGGGACUGGAGUGUCCGUGUUUCAUAGAUAGGAAUACUAAUUUAAAUGCUCUCCAUUUUUGUGUUCAUUCCUCCCAAUAGGUACAAGGCUCUCUUGCCUAUCAAGAGGCCCUUUACAUGUAAAUCUAAUGAUGACUAAACUAGUAAACAAAUAACAAAAAUUAAUAAUGGAGGAAUCAGCUUGAGUUGGGUAUAUAUAUAGAUAUUAUGUAUUAUGAUGAAGCGAUGAAAAAAAUUAAGAGAAUGAUUUUAACUAGCAGUACUAAAGGCGUCUAGCUACAGGAUAUAUCGAAUACAAGAUUUGAUACGAUAAUAAUUUUAGCGAAAAUAAAGCUGAAAACAACCUUUAUAUAAAGAAGAUGCUUAUUAGGCUCAACAAUACUCCAUGCAUGCAUGGAUAUGAAGAAUUAGAAUCGGAAAGUUUCAACCAAGCUGUUUCCAAACUGACACAGACAAUAACAGGGAAAAGGAAAAAAAUAAUAAUUAAAACUGUAUAUAUGUGCACACAAAUUCACAUACGUUGGGGUCCAUGGAAGUACAGAGCGAAAACCGAUUACUGCAUGUCAACUUCUAUCGAAGGCCCAUCGUUAUGACUAAUGACUGUAGAGUAUAGACAUGAUUAGUGGAUUAUGCAGCUGCUUCAAAUAUUUAAAAAAAUUGAGUUUUAGAAAUGCAGUUACAUUAAAUAUUUAAAGAAAAAAAUGUUAUAUGGAUGAUUAUUUGAUUUCAACAAAUUGUCUUCCCUUAAUUAAAUAUACAUGUGGUUUGUAAGCACAGGUUAUCUACGCAUUCGUUUGAAUAUAAUGAAAUUAUAUAUAAAGUCUUCAUGUUAUAACCUGAACAAUGCUAUAACUGAACAAGGGAAAUUAACUGUGUAAAUUUUGUAUAAAAAAGUAAUUUUUUUAUUAUUAUUACAUCAUAUAUAUAUAUAUAUAUAUAUAUAUAUAUAUAUAUAUAUAUAUACUUUAAAGGAGUCCCUUCAAUUAUAUAUAUAUAUAUAUAUAUAUAUAUAUAUAUAUAUAUAUAUAUAUAUAUAUAUAUAUAUAAAAGAGAGACGCGCCAAAAGGAAUAUAUAUAUUGAACAAUGAUUUAUUCAUGUAAAAAACCCGGGUUUAUUAGGAAUUUCGUCUUCCCCUUGACAAAGACUUCCAUAGUUCCAUGUCUCAAAUUUGUUCUUUGUUCUGUCCCGAGGGAAUGGAGAUACCAAAGUUGUUAACAUAAUAACGCACGAAUUUUUUUACCCACCUCAUGUUCAGUUAUCUGCUGGGUUCUCUGCUUUAAUUUAAUUUAUACGAUCAUCUCCGACAUUAACAAUGGUCCAAGUUGCCGACUCUUUCUCCUAUAUAUGAUGUCAUAUAUUCCCUUUCAUAUUCCUUAACUAUAAGAUAUUAUUCCACUAUUCUUAAUUAAAAAUAUAAUAUCAUGUCCCUAUUUAAUUUAUACAUGCAUAUACAUUUUAUAUAUAUAUAUAUAUAUAUACACACACACGACGCAGUCACAGAAUUUAAGAACUUUAAUGGUCUUUGACUUUUCAUUAUUCAUUAAAAUUAUAGUGUCCUAGACGGAGUAUAUAUCUGCAGUUUUCUAAAUCUUUCUUAAAUUUUAGGAGGUAAGGAAGGCAAGUGAAGGAGAACAAUAAUGAAUGAAGGAGAGCCAUCUUUCCUCAUUCAAUUGUUCAUGCUCUUCAAUAUUGGAAGAUUUGGAGAGAAGGAGAGUGUAAUGACUAAAUUAAAUAACCCUGUGUUUUGAAAUAAAAAAUUAUAAAGGUAUAAGGUUAAAUUAAUUUAUGUCUUAUAGUAUUAUUAUAAAAAAUAAUUAACAUUUUCUUAAUGAUUUAAAAUGAUAAAUAGUUUGAAACAGAAAAAUAUUUUAAAACUGAUAAAUAAAACGAGAUAGAUGGAAUGAUUUUUUAUAACUUAUUUUUUCCUAUUAUAUAUAUAUAUUAUCUUUUAUUUUAUUUUUCUCUUAAUUAUAAGAAUAUGUGCAAACUUUUUGUAUAAAUUAAAAUGUCUUAUUAAUUUAUGGAAGUGCAAGACAGCUGGCCGGUAUUCCCUUUGACAGAAGUGAUCGCCAAAUUCAUCCAUAUUUUAUUAGGCAGCAUUACAUGAUAAUAUGCGCACAAGAUAAACCUUCACUGGUUUUAUUUCUAUUUGAGGGUGAUCAUCACAUCUCAGACAGCUAAUUGCUUCUUUCUUUCUCUCUCUCUCUCUCUUUUUUUUUUUUUGAGAAUCAGCGCAUUGCUUGUUAUUAAUGUUAUUUUCACUAAAAAUUCAUACAAUUUUUUUUUAUAAUUUUUAUAGUUUACUUUUUAAUUUUAUUUAAUUAAAUCUCUUAUUUUAUCAUGUAUAUUUCUUUUUAUAUAUUUGUUAUAAAAAGUGUUGUGAGAAAUUUUAAAACAGCACUAUAAUUUUAAUUACAGUUUCAUAUGCAUGCAUGCUAGUGUCUUAUUCGGGACAUUGCUUACUCGAUCUUAUAUGCUGUUAUUUUUUUGAGUCUUGAGUCAGUUUCGAAUCGAGGUUUUGAAGCAUGAUGCUCUCGCGGGUUUUUCUGUCUUUGUCUUAAAAUAUAGAAAAAUAAAUAUAUUUUAAAGUAAAAAUAUAUUAAAUUUUAAAUUAUAAUCAAAGUACUUAUUUUAAUUUCAAAUUUAAACCAUAUUUUAGGUUUAAAUCAAUCAAUUUUUUUUAAUAAAAAAAUAUUUUUUAGAUUAUUAAAUUAAUUAAAAAUGAUUAUAAUAACAUUUAAAAAUUAAAAAUCAUAAAAUCUAUACAAGAAUACAUUCAAAACUCAAAAAACUCAAUCACAGUUAACUGAAAUCAAGUAAAAAUAUUAGUAGUAUAUGCAAAUAGAACAAAAUCAAUUCGAUUCGCACACCCCAAUAGAUGAUUGAAAAUAACUGUUCUGCUUUUUAUUUAACGUUUAUUAUAGUUGUAUAAAGGGAUGAAAGUUAGUUAUUACAGUUGUAUAAAGGGAUGAAAGUUAGUUAGAAUAGAUGACAAUUAGUUAGAAUAGCUGGCAUAGAAAGUUAGUUAUUGUUAAGUUGGUUAAAACACUUUGUAUAUAACCUUGUAUCUCCCCAUUACCUAUUAAUCAGAAUUUGAGAAUUCACCUAUUACUCAUAUCUCUUGUUAAUAUGGUAUCAGAGCUAGAAAGGGAUCAAAGAAAGCAAAAAAGGUUUAUCAGAGCUAGAAAGGGAUCAGAGUUAGAAUAACUUUUCUUCUCAUUUUCUUCAAUUCUUCGAAGUUCCCCCAUGGGUGCCAUGGAUGAUUCCAAUCAUUUUCUCAUACAACCCAGUGAUAGUCCUGAAUUGAGUCUUGUGACUCAUCCUUUAUCUGGCGAGAAUUAUAAUUCUUGGAAGAAAGCUGUCAAGAUGACACUUCUUGGCAAGAAUAAGUUUGGUUUUGUGGAUGGUUCCAUUCUUGAACCUCCAUUGGAGCAGUCCAGUCAUGCUUUAUGGCAACGAAAUGAUAGCAUCGUUGCAUCUUGGCUUCUCAAUUCUCUUACAAAAAAGAUACAGAUAAGCAUUCUUCAUUGUUCCACUGCUCAAGCCAUUUGGAAUGAUCUUAAAGAAAGAUUUAAAUAGGGAAAUGGUCCCUUGAUUUUCUAGUUGAAACAUGAACUAGCAACCUUGCAACAAGGUUCUAUGUCCAUCUCGUCCUAUUAUUCCAAGUUGCGAUCAAUUUGGGAAUCGAUUUCUGAAUUAAAGCCUGCACAUUCAAGCACCUGCAACGGCAUCUGUCCUUGGCACAACUAUGCACAGAUGGAGUAUGUCAUGCAUUUCUUGAUGGGCCUCAAUGAAUCCUACGGUUCAAUUCGAGGUCAGAUUCUUUCUAUAAACCUUUUCCCUUCUAUUAAUCGCAUUUUUUCUUUAGUGGUUCAAGAAGAAAAACAAAGAGAAAUUGGUGCUUUUGUUUUUGCUUUCAACUCCACAAAUGAUGCUUCACAAUCUCAUACCUUUGUUGUCAAGGACUCCAAAUAUCAGUCUGAUCACAAGUUUAAUGCUAAUUCCAAGAAUCGACCCCUCUGUGCACAUUGUGGUCGUCUUAGCCAUACUCAGGAUAAGUGCUUCAAGUUACAUGGUUUUCCCCCAAAUUACAAGAAGAAUAAGCCUUCUUCUUCUAAUACUGACAACAACCUAGACAAAGAUCUCAUCCUAUCCUAGACCAUUGCUCUCUAGUUCAUCUCAACCCUCUUUAUAAGGAUUUUAUUGCUCAAGUUUCCAUUACUUAUGAGCCACAAUUUUAUCAUCAAGUUGUCCCUUUUCCAGAAUGGCGCCAAGCCAUGACAGUUGAGAUCAAAGCUUUAGAAUCUAAUAACACAUGGACCUUGGUUCCCCUUCCAGCUGAAAAACAAUGCAUUGGCUGUAGAUGGGUGUAUAAGGUGAAAUUCAAACCUAAUGGCACUGUGGAUCACCACAAAGCCAGAUUGGUAGCUAAGGGCUACACAUAAUAGGCUAGCAUCAAUUUUUCUGAUACUUUCUCUCCAGUUGCUAAACUUACAUCAAUUAGAGUUCUUUUGGCUGUUGUAGCUACUAAAAAUUGGUCCAUCUUACAACUUGAUUUGGAUAAUGCUUUCCUUAAUGGCGAUCUAUUUGAGGAAGUAUAUAUGGAACUUCCAAAAGGGUACAAUUCCGUUGACAAAACUCUUGUUUGCAGACUCAAAAAAUCCCUUUAUGGCCUUAGACAAGCUUUUAGACAAUGGUUUUGUAAAUUCUCAACAACAUUAAUUGGUAAUGGUUUCUCUCAGUUAAAGAAUGACUAUUAUCUCUUUACCAUUGACAAAGGUGCUUCCUUGGUUAUCUUGUUAGUAUAUGUAGACGAUAUUCUACUUGCUGGCCUAAGUGUUGCAUGUGUUCAUUCUAUUCAGGCCAAACUUCAAGCUCUGUUCAAACUAAAGAUCCAUGGUCCCUUAAAGUACUUUUUGGGACUAGAAAUUGCAAAUUCCAGCAAGGGCAUUGUACUGACACAACAAAAAUAUGCUUUUUCCCUAUUAGAAGAUACUGGCUUCCUUGGCUGCAAACCAUCUUCUCUUCCAAUGGAUCCAAAUUUAAAGCUCAACAUGCUCAAUGGUGAGUUACUAACUGAUCCCUCAAUGUACAGGCGUUUACUUGGUCGCCUAAUGUAUCUAACUAUUUCAAGGCCAGAUAUUACAUUUGUUGUUAACAAACUGAGUCAGUAUAUUCAGAAUCCAAGGACACCUCAUCUAGAUGUUGUGCAUCAUCUCCUCCAAUACAUCAAAGGUACUCUAGGUCAGGGUCUUCAUUUUCAGCCGAAUAAUUACUUCAAUUUGUCUGCCUAUGCAGAUGCUAAUUGAGGAGGAUGAUUGGACACAUGCAGAUCAACAUCUGGUUCCUGUGUGUUUCUAGGAGAUACUCUAAUAUCAUGGGAAUAAAAAAAACAACCCAUUGUGUCUAAGUCUUCUGCUGAGGCAGAAUAUCGGGCACUCUCCUCAGUAUCCAGUGAAGUCAUUUGGCUAAGAAGACUUUUACUGCACUUUGAGAUUACUAUUCCUUCUGUCAUGCUUUUCUGUGAUAGCAAAUCUGCCAUAGAUCUAGCAUCCAAUCCAUCUCACCAUGAACGAUCAAAACACAUUGAUAUUGAUUAUCACUUCAUUCGUGAGUUAGUGCAAUCCAACAUCCUCAAGCUUGUUCAUGUGAAAUCUCAACACCAAGUUGCAGAUGUCUUCACAAAGCCUUUAGUACUUCUAACUUUCUCUUCCUUUAUUUGCAAGUUGGGACUCAUUAACAUUUACUUUCCAACUUGAGGGGGGGGGGGGGUAUUACAAUUGUAUAAAGGGAUGAAAGUUAGUUAGAAUAGCUGAUAUAGGAAGUUAGUUAUUACAAUUGUAUAACAGGAUGAAAGUUAGUUAGAAUAGCUGUCAAUGAGUUAGAAUAACUGGCAUAGAAAGUUAGUUACUAUUAAGCUGGUUAAAACACCUUGUAUAUAACCUUGUAUCUCCUCAUUACCCAUUAAUCAGAAAUUUAAGAAUUCACCUAUUACUCAUAUCUCUUUGUUAAUAAUGCUUUGUUUUCUUUGCCUCUUAUUUCAUCUAUUUUCUACACAUAAUAUUGAGGGAGAAAAAACUUUUUAUAAAACUCAUUUUUUUCUUAAUCUAAUUAUUAUUUUUCUUUUCAUCCAAUUUUACUUUAAAUAUGGGUAUGGAGCAUAUGAGAUUUUUUGUCUGCCAAAUUCAUUCUUAAAAUAUCGAGUAAUAUUAUAUAUUCCUAUUAUAUAUAAAAAAAUUAUAUUGUAAAUAUGAAAUAAAUAAUAAAUAUAUUUAAUAUUUUAAAAAAAUAAAAUACAUUUCAUUAUUUUUAUUUAAUAAAUGGGAGAAUUUACAAAAUGAUGUUAUAAAAAACUUUAAAAUUAUUCUAAAAUAUAUUCUCCUACAAGAAUUGAAUAUUCCCCUUAACUUUUCGGUUUUCAUAUAUAUAGCUACAUGGCAGACAUAGAAAGGCUAUAAUUGGUCUUGUCAAACUAGGUUUAUACCCAGCUAAAGUAUUGUCUUUAAUUCACAGGGUAAACCCUAGAAAGAUUAGGUUUUUCAUUGGAAUCUCCAGCGUUUCAUCUGUCUUGUCAUUCAUUUUUUAACUAACAAACUUUAAUAUAUAUAUAUAUAUAUAUAUAUCCCGAGUACAUACGGAAGAAUGUAUAUGCAAAAUUAAUCUGCGUAAUGAAAAAAGUUGGGCAUGCAUGAAAAAAAUGAAUACGUAAAGGUAGCAUGGACACACAUUAAUUAGGCGAUAUAAUUCUUUUCUGAAAAUUAAGAAAAUAAUACCGCCUCUACUAGCUUGUAAAGCACACAGCGUGACAUGUUUUAUCACGAUCUAAUUAAUACAAUCAAGCGCAAGCUAAAUCCAAUUUUACUUGUUUAUAAAAUUAGAAGCAUGGCAUCCGGUUCACAGGUCAUGUAUUCUAUUCUUUUCCUUUUUCGCUGAGCACUUCCCUUCUUUUUUUUGUUUUUUUUUGUUUUAUAUAUAUUCAAGUCGCGACUGUACUCAGGAUGCAGAAAACUAAUUGGUAGGGCUAAUGAUCUGACAAGGAGAAUAUGAAUAACUUUCUUUUCAUAAAAAAGAGAAGAAGAAAGUUGUCUCAGUAAUUCAUAUUUUGUGUUAAGUUUAUCAUUUAAUAAAAAAUAAUGUAUAUAUUUUACAUUAUUUUUGGAUCACAAUUUACUAUAUAUAUAUACGAUAAAUUUACUAAUUUUUGUAAUAACUAUUAAAAGUUAUAUCUAUUUAUAAUUUCUAAUUAGUUUACAGUAUAAAAAGUAUAAAAAUGUUUACGCAUCAUCCCUUGAAAUUACACUCAUAAUUUAUUUAUUUUAGAUUUUAUCAAAAAAUUAUAAAGCCGAAUGAUAAUAGACGCACCUUAACAGCAGUGGUUCUACUGGUUCCUGUUGAUGUGAUCAGCUUAUAAAAAGCCUUUGGUUCCCUCAGUGCCUCUGUGAGAAGCUUACACGACAAUAAGAUUAAGGUUCUCAUCUCAUCAUGUGAUGGUCUUGCUCACUGUCUUGGACAUGGCUCUGUCUGUUUCCAACGAGAACAUCAAACAGAUUACAAAUAUCAUUGGCUGAUCUAAUGGACACAUGUAUAUGAUAGUCAUGAUAACCAUUUGGGAUGGUUGAUCAGGUAAGAGAGCUCUCUUCAGCCCACUCAUAGGUGAUAAUAGGAUUUAAUUAGCUGCCGACUCAUUCAUACACAUGCUGAGUGAAUUAAUGAAUAAUACUCAGUAAAUGAGUGAAUGAUACGGGAGACAAAUUGAAUCUUAUGUUUUCUGUACUUGGACUGAAGGGAGCUCCCUUUUCUCGCUCGUUUCUGUCUCUCCUAUAUUUUUCUAGCUUCUGAUUUACAUGAUAUUAGAUUUGGACAUCUGGUGGUGGGUGUUGCAUAUUCAUUUAUCUAUAUAUACUUGUUUUUAAUCAUUUAUUCACUCAGGUGAAUAGGUAGUAAUUGCUAAACUUUGGAGUUUGCACAAAAGUUGAUACGGAAAGGGCAUAUUAACCAGAAGUACUGUACUUUAGGUUUAAAUUUAAUUCAAUUUACGUUUUCUGUCUUUAUAUUUUUACUCUUUUACAUUUAUUACAAAUAAAAUUUUCAAUUAAUUUAGUAAUAUCAAAUUGUUACUUGUAGAAAAAAUGUCAGGGGAUAACCGAUAAUAUCUGAAAUAUAAUUUACUUGUUUUUUAUUUUUAUUCUUUGGAUUUUAUUGAGGGAGUUAAAUGUUAAAAUUAUUGUAUCCUCAAACUUUGGUAAAUAAUUUUACAGUUAAAAAAUUUAGAAGAAAAAAAUGAAAACAAAUAAAUUACAUUAGAUUAAAUUCCUUAAAAAAGGUUCACACGUAUAUUAGUAUAUACCUUGUUUUCAUGGUUUUCUACUCUUCCAAGUAGAGUUAGGUUAAGGAUUAUUGUGUCACCAAGUAGUAACAACAGGCUGAGCAUACCGUAAUGAGUCUCGCCCCAUUGAAGAAGAAGUUCACAGUGGUGCAAUGAUAUAUAUAUAUAUAUAUAUAUAAAAAUUCUGAAUUAAUCAGAAUUUUUUUUUCUUAUGAAGCGGAUGAUUAAGAUUAAAUCUGUCAUAUAUAUAACCCUUGAUUGUGUACAUGUGUAGUUCCACACUUGCAGGUGCAAUAAUAAUUGCAUUUCCGAUGUAUAAUUGCCAGCCAUGAAACAUAUGUGCUACUGCUGUUUUAUUUUUCGUUUCUUUAAAUUUUUUCAAUGAUCUUACAUAUGUUUCUUUAUUUGAUGUGAAGAUUGAUUUCCAAUACAUGAAGAUGUUUGCCUUUGAUAUACAUGAAGCUCAAGUAAUUAAGAGCGGAAUGCAUAUGAUAUAUAUGAGGCUGCAAGGAGCUAGUUCUUGGAAUUGUCCCUAUAUAUUCUUGAAAAUCAUACGGGAAAAGUUUGAUAGCCGGGAUCCCAUAACUCCGACACAAAUCAACUGCACUGUUCUGAAAGAAUGUCAAAGAAAGAUUUCAAUCGCACUUCAUUUUUUCGUUGGGAGACAGGGAACACAACAGUGGAACAGGAGAUAGCGCGCUAGAUAUUGAAUAACGGAAAUAACUUUUACUUAUCAAUGUAUUAAUAUUUAAUUGUAAUUUUAAUUUACGCAUUAUAAAUGCCUUUGAUAAAUAUGUUUAUCUCAUAUAAUUAGAAAUUUGUACUUUGAGAUAUUUAUAUUAAAUGUGUAUAAUUUAUUACUAUUGUUUUAUUAUUGCUUUCAAUCUAUUAAUAAAUUCCUCAUUUAUUCAAUUCUUCAAUAUUAUAAUAUUUAUUUAUAUUUUUUAAUAAAAUAUUUAAUGUACAAAUAUAAACAAUAAGAAUUCAAAACCAAUUAAAAUCAUUAAAACUAUAUUUACAUAAAAUAUAUAUUAGAUAUACAAAAAAUAUAUGAGCAUGCAUGUUUUUAUAUCUUUCUACAUUUAUCAGCUGAUUAAACAAUUAAUUUAUUAAAUAUUUUUAAAUUAAAUUUUAACCAACAUAUUAAGUAUCAAUUACAUUCCCCAAAUAUAAUAUAACCUAUAGAUAAUAAACCAGAUUUGUUCUGUAAUAAUUUUUUCGAUAAAUUUAAUCUCUUAAAAUUUUCUUUUAUUGCUACUUGAGUUUUUUUCAUCAUUUUUCUUAUCUUUCAUUUCGUCAUUAUGUUUUGAUUUUUUUAUUAAAAAAUAAUAGAUUAUCAAUAGAGUAGAAUGAUAACAUAAUUAGAUAGAUUUAUUGUUUUUAAAAUUAAUAAAUUUUAAUAAAUUUUUUUCGUAUGAAAACUUCAAAUGGUAUUUUUCUUUGUUACUACAUCAAAUGAUAUUCAGUAUGGAAAAGAUAAUUAGUAUGAAAUCAAGCUCAAACAAAAACAUCAGGCAGCACGCAGCUUCACUUUUUUAUCAAACAAAAACCUCAAACUAUGAAAAUGCUACCUUAAUUUUUUUUUUAAAUUAAUCACCGUAUAUCUCCGUAUUAGUCUUUUAAAAAUUCUUUUUAUCACUUUAAUUUUCUAAAGGAUUUUUGUCAGCAAAAUAAUUUCUCAGAAAUUUAAUUUGUUACCAAAUUAGUCUAUUAAAAUCUUUUUAUUUUUAAUAAAGACGUAUAUGAUGAUAUUUUAGAUUUUUGAAAGAGUAACUCAGUAACUUGGUUAAAUCUUUGGAAGAAUAAUUGGGUAAUAAGAUUUUUUGAAAGAUUAAUAUAAUACUAAAGUCUAAAUUUUUGAAGAAGAUUAAUUUAAUAACUAAAUUUUACAUUAAUGUAAUGAUACAUGUAGUUUUAGAAAACAGAAGUGAAGGUUUUCUUUUUUUGUUUUUUUAUUAAUAAGAGUGGAAGACAAAUAAUAAAAAAUUAUAAUAAUUCAGACAUUGUGUCUAAGUGCAAUGAGUGGGGGGUUCGACCCUACAUGCGGUUGUCUAAAUCUGGAACAAGGCAAUAGUAGUCUUUCCCCUUGUACAGAAUCUAACAUCACUUGAUGAUUAUAUUGAUCAUUUCUCUAAACACGUACAAGAUUUAACUAAAGUUGUUUAUCAUUAAUUGUCAAUUAGUUAUUAUUUCAGACUAUAAGCGAUUUAAGAAAAACAAAAUACCCGAAUUUCAUCGCGCUAAUCACCUAUAGUGAGUGAACCGUUGCCACGUUUAAUAGACACACGCUAUAGUGUUCAAGAUUUGACAAUGGAAUUUUGCAUUGCGUUUUGCGUGCAAAUGUACUUAAUUUAGGUAAAGUUUGAUUUCCUUUAUUCUCCGGGGCCUAGAUGUUUCCAACCCAUCUGGAAAAGUAUCAAGAGUUAGUGAAGUGGAUCUGUCCGUUAUUAUCACAAAAGUCUCGUCCAGUAUCAUCUGAAGAUAUGGAAAUAAAUAAAUCAUCAUAGUCCACUUGCGAAUCUGUGUGUAGAGUGCACUCAUCCAAUACUACGGAAACAAUAUGUUAGGAACUAGUCAAUACAAUAGGUGGCUCUAGUUGUUUUUCCUUCUAGGAGCCAGAGAACUGAGGAAGUGACUGAAAUUGGAUGUUCGUAUAUCAUAAUGCUGCAAGGGAGUUUUAUUUGAAUUGAUGUGACAAUAAUAACGUUAUCAUUAUGCUCUUUUCUUUAUUAGUGGAGAACAUGGAAAUCAUACAUAUGGUCUCCUUAUUUGGUAUUUAAUUUCUAAACUUUAGUGAAUGGCAUUGGUUAUCUCUCAAAUCAAUAUUCAAGAUGCUUCCAUUAAGGCAUGAUCCGUAUGCAACUACUAGUUUGUUUAUUUUUCGAAAGAAAAAUAACAUUUUGUUCAAUUCGGAUUCAAUUAAAAAUGUUAGAUAUAUCUGGUUGCUCGGUCCUUCUUGGUCAAGUUUUUAUUUGAUAAAGAGGAAGCAAUAAGAAAAGAGAACAAACCUUCGUGGACCAUGCAAGUUUAAACGAGGGUAUGAAAUGUGAUCAAACCUCAACCCCACAGAUCACCAAUGGACUGUUUAGUGGAGAGAGAGGAUGGGAAGAAAAUAUAAUUUUUCCUAAUUAAUAGUGAAGAUGGGAUCUAGAUAAAAGUUACAGAAGAUUUGAUUUUUUUCUUGUCUCCAUUUUUCUCUAUAAUUUUUCCCUUAUUUUUUUCUCACUUAUUUCAAUCUUCUCCAUGAUAUUUCCCCUUUACUAAACAAGGGUACAUCAUGUAUCACGUUGUGAGAAAUUAAUGUUGAUCUUAAAACCUUUCGAGCUAAAUGUUGAUCUUAAGUACAAGAAUGCUAACUUUUCUAAAAUUUGCUUUAUUCUCUCCUAAUAUUUUGUAUUCCCACGUAAGAUGAAAUUGUAUCUUGUGUGACAUCAGGGAUGUUCGUGAAGCUACACCUACACAUAGCCAACAAGUGAAACCCGAAUUUUCAAAUGGGUUAUAAUAUUCACACAAUAAUAACUCCUCUUAUUAUCUACUUUAAAAAAGUUUUUUUUGAAAAGAAAUCACUCGUUUAAUUUAUUCUUUACAUAUCUAUAAUAAUAAUAAUAUUGAUGCCGGACACUUUCUUAGUUUCUUUUCCUCUCUCCUUUUCCUUUUUCUCAACAUUGUGGAAAUGAAUAGGUGAAAAAAGAAAAGAAGAUAAAUAGGUAAGAAAUAGAUUGGAAAUAGAUAUUAUUUGGUUGAAAAAAAUACAGCAAAAAAAUAAAGUGAAAAUUAACUUUUUGAGAUUAUUUGAUUUUAAAAAUAAAUUUUUUUUUUAUUAUUAUUAUUAUUAUUAUUAUUAUAUAAGAAAUCAUAUACAAGAUAAAAAGAGAGCCGAGACAUGUCAUAAUCAAUUAUAACGUGAAAAGAAAAACAUUUGAUGAGCCCCACUAAAUUUUUAAAAACUUUCUCUUCAUUUUCACAUGUUAAACAAUUCAUUUCUUUCCUCUUCUCUUCUAUUUCCACCAUACCAAACACACCAUAAGAAUAGUGGAAUUGCUAAGGAUAAAUAAUGAUGGAGAUAAAAGUUAAUAGAGAAUUCAGUAAAUGCUAUUUCUUAUGAAAAAACAGGAAAGCAAAAAUUAAUGAUUUGACCAAUCAUAGAACCAAUAAGUAAUAACCAUACAUGGGUUGGUUGGAGUGAAAAUUAAGUAACCAAUCACAUUUGAGUUGUUAUAUUCACGUUGUUUUGUUCAAUAAUUUUAAAUUUAGCAUUUUUCUAGAACAUUACAGCAACGUUCAAAUCUAUGCAGAGGAUCUGAAUCCCUCCCGUUAAUGAGAAAAUGUUCCACUGUUGUUUCUUUCUUUUCCUCAUUUCCAUCAACGGGAGCUAUGAAAAUGUGUGAUACUAUCCCCUUUUUCAAAACUGGAAUCGAAAACGUGACAAGUGAUACAACACAUCAUGUUUUGCAGCAGCUUGGGUAAGACCACACCGCAUCUUCAUGUAUCACAUGAAAAAAUUACUAUUUACAUAUGAAUCUUUUCUACGGAUGGCAGAGAUUGUAUCAGACGCCAAAUCAAGUAUUAGCACAUGAGAAAUACAUUAAUCCUUAAAUAUUUCAAUCGUUGAGUAAUUGCAUGGGCAAAGUCUACAAUUAAAAGCGUCAAGUUACAAUGUUUCAACAGGGAGACGAAAAUUCAAUAAAAAAAUAUCAACAUGGAGGAAGGAGAAGCUGUCAUCCUUAAAGAGAAAAAUAAAAUAAAACCAAAAGGUGAAUUCCUGUCACUUCUAGCAGAUAUGGAUGGCACCAAAAACCCCCAUCUACAAGACAGAUAAUUUGGAGAUAUCUGAAAUUGAAUAGCUUUUUUCAAUCUUCUAAUCAUUUUGCCUUAUUCUCAGGUCUUGACGAGAACAUGAUCAAUUAUUGCAGGGAAUCCACCAUGACUAAAGAGGGUUUUGUUGAUACUGAAUCUCCUAUGUCAUGUAUCUUUACACGGGUUCAUAGAGGCCUAAGACAUGUCCAUCAAUACACCGCAUAGCUGCAACCUGAUCACAAGAAAAUCACAUCAGACCUUAUAACUUAUAAGUCCUCAGCAAUAUCAAAUUCAAAGCUAUGAAUGAAUUGCAAUACCUUUCCAUGGACCUCAUAUUUGAUGGGUCCAUCUAGUUCAGCUCCUAACGCCAUUAAUUUAGUUAAUGUACUGUUCAUAUCAGUCACAGUAAAUGACAGAAGCGAUGAGUACCCUUUCUGUGUGGCUUGCUGCUCACUGUGAAAUUGAAAUUUGAAAGUGAAUCAGCAGCUGACCACUCCAUGGACCAAUAUUGCACGCCAAACAUUUCUAUUAAAAUCAUAAAGAAAGAAUAAAAAAAAAACAACUGAAUAAGAAAGUAAUCUUGUUAUUAGUCAUUGUUAAUUAAGGCUUAAUUUGGAAUGAACAAAAUAUCGAACAGAUGGAGGGCGUGAGAAAAAGGAAGGGUACUUGGGAGAAUGCAUGAGGGCAAGCUUGAGAGAACCGGAUUGGAGUUCGGCCCAACGAAGGCUGCAGACAUUGAUGCUGAAGUCCAAGCCUUGGGAGUAGAAGCGUGCGGCUUUUGGAACAUCCUUGUGUAGUUGUAAUAUCCACCUGAAGGACGCUGCCAUUAGGGACACCGUCUGCUUUUCGAUCUUCUUCUCAGACACACGUGUGGUCCCGAGUCACGUCACGCCUCUUCAAUUGGAUUCUACCAUUGGGCCCGACCAAUUUGGCCCGUAUUAUUUUUUUUCUCCGGUUAUCACAGGUCACAGGACCUCUUUGAUAGUUGCCUUAACCUCAACAGGCUUUGUCAUUAGCUUCUAUUUUAAUUUUUACCUUAUUCUUUGUUAAUUAAUAAAUGCAAAAUCGCUUUUAAAAUAUAUUUCCAUAAUAUUUCUCUUCAAGUUUAAAUGUUUUCCACUAAAUACAUGGAUCAACCCACAUGUUCUAACUCAAUCAAAGGCUUUGAAUUUGAAUCAUAAUCAUGAGUACAUUUAAACAAGAUUAUUUCCAAUGAAAAAUAUACAUGAUUUAGACAAAAAAAAGUUUAAAUGUCUAAAAGAAUUAUUUUAGUGUAUCUAAAUUGAACAUAACUAGGAGCACAUUUAAAAAAAAAUGCUCCAUAGUCAAGAAUGGAUAGCUAGUCGAUUAUUUUGAACCCAACCCAACAAAAAUUAGCAGUUAAUAAAUGAACCACAAACUUAUUGAAAUCCUCAUUCAUAUUAUACUAUUAUCACUGCUUUUGUAAGUUUUUUUUUUUUUUUUUGAGAAACUCUUUUGUAAGUUAUUCAUACUAUUCACGUAACCUAAUCUUGUAACUUACAAAAACAAAAAUGGUGAUGCGCGGCCAAAUAAACAUAUAUAAUUAUAGAUUAAUAAUAUCCAUGAAUCAAAUCAUGGUUUGUCUUAAUAACGCAUCACAGUAUGAAAUUUUGGAGCAAGCAUGUCAUAAUAAUGAGAAACAAAAAACUAUCCAAAAUUGUAUACUUGUUUUUUCACUUCUCAAGACUCGAUCCGAUUCUUUUAGCUACAUGCGUGACAUCUACAGUAGUAUAUAUAGAGAGAGAAUAAAACCCAAAGGAGAAAUUUGUUACAGAUACAAAGUGAAAAUUAUGAACAAAAGUUGCACGUGAAAGGAAGAGACGAGGGGGAAGUGUAAUGACCACCAUCAACAGGAUGCAAAUUCCCCACAACUUAUUAUUUACCUUUAGCCUGAAUUUUCCAACAUGUUAUGUUUAAGCUAAACCACCUCUAAAAGGAACCUUUCAAGGCUUUUAAACGCGAUCUCUGCCCCUUGGACCUAGCUUCAAGAAGCUUUGCUUUCAAAGUAUUAUUACUCUCCUUUGAUCCUGAAGGCACUUUGGAAGCCUCUGAUAUGUCAAGGUCUUGGGAUGCAAGUUUUGCCAUCCACUGCUUCACAGGGCUUGCCUGAUUCCUCCAUCCAGCAUUGCUGCAAGAAGCCUCACCAUAAUUAUUUUCAGCAUGCAUAUUGCCACCUUCCGAUGCCAAAAGUUGACCUCUUAAGAGAUUAUCAAUAAUGUGAUUUUUACUGGAGCUGUGCAAUUCAGUGGGGAUAUUUUUUCUCUCAGAAUCAUCAUUUUCGUAAAUCUCAAAGUGUUCAGACUUUUCAGAUACAAUUCCUUCAACUGGCCUAGUAUCUGUGGUCUUCCCCUGAUCUGCAUCAAUUGACUGGGACUUCUUAUGCGAAUCAGAUGACAUGGCCCAAGCAAUCUGUUCUUCAAACUCCACUUGCAGGCUACAUGGGCUACGAUGUUUUAACCCUUCUCGUGGUAUUGGUUUUUUCUUUGGUUGGUUGGUUUUUGAUGUCUCCUCAAAAAUUUUGCCGACAGGCUCUUCUUCAUGUACCUUAGAUCCCUUGUUGCUUGGCUUGUUCAACUCAAAACAAUUUGAAUCACUGCCCACAGAAUCAUCGUCAUCACCAACCUCUUGUGGUGCACUGACGGCAUCAUUCAGUGGUACAGAUUCCAAGGAAUUACGGCAAUUCCUUACUGCAAUAUUUUCUGUACUCCUACUAUUUUGUUUAGCUUUAAGGAAAGUCUCUAUUUCAAGACUUAGUUUAUCGACUAUGGAUUUAUCCAUAAAACCAUUAUGAACUGCUUCCAGCUGCAUUUGCAUACGUUCAUCCAGCCACAAUUCAGAUAUGUGGAGGAUCAAACGAUCAUGAUCAGCCCCUUGAACCCAUUCCUUAUCAGACUUGUGUUUGACAGUAUGCACCUCUUGUUCGUAUUCAUUUAUUCCCCUAGCAAAUUCAUCACAUAGGUCCUCCAAUAGUUUUCUUCUUGUUCUCUCUUGAUUCAAUUCCUUUAUGGCACUAGUCAGAGAGGACUUCACCUCAGAAAGAUCCCGAGCUAGUUUCCUGUGUAUGCUCUCUGAUCGUUUUCUUAAUUUCCUCUCAUCCUCAAGUUCAUCCCUCACAGAUUGAAUGGCAGCAUGGAGUUGAUCCUGCUCCUUCCUCUUCCGAACCAAUUUAUCCUCUGCAAUUUGCUUCAUCAGGUCAUCAAUCUCAUGUCGACCUGCUUGUCGGUCUCGAAGCAACUCUUUGAUCCGAAUACGUGCAUGAUCUAGCUCUGAUUUUAAUGCUUUUAUCAAUGAAAUGUUAGAAGCAUGUUGUUCUUCCAAGCUCCAUAUUCUGUUUAGCACUUUUAGAAGUUCUGUAGAUGUUUUGAGACUAUAAUGUGGCUCCCCAAUCCUUCCCUUAAAUUCCAAGGAACUAGUAGGAGUGGCUCCAGGAUUAUAGGGUGUCAUCUGCAAUCCAAGAAAGGACAAGCACAGCAUUCAAUAAAGUAUUGGAUAAAUAUUAACUAUCCUUUGUACGCAACAGAUGAUGAAUGAUCGACCUAGUAUUUGCAGUAAAUGUUUUAGAAAACACUCUGGCACAAGAAGGUAGUUCUUGAACCAAUGUUUAGAAAGACCUACACUUCAGUGGUAAUUUAUUCUGAAAGUAUACCUACAAACACAGUGACUCAAACUAGGAUUUUGUUUCAUUCUCUAGACAAACUUACGAUUUAUUACAUAUGCUCCAUUUAUAGAUAUCAUUCUGAAAAAUUAUUUUGGCAGCCAGCUAAACUACAACAAAGCUGUUCCUGGCAUGGUAUUUCAUUAUAUUAGAUAAAAUUAGUUAUUGACUGAAUUUCCCAGUACGAGGGAAAUUGGUUACUCAUAAUAAUUUAUAUUUCUCCCAUGAUACACUGAUAGAUUAUUAUUCAGAUAACUUCUAAAGCCUAGCCGAUCUUGUACAUUGAAAUUGUGACUACGAUGUAUCCACAUUAUACAAGAUGCCAAAUUGGUAAAUCCCGCAAAAGAAACAUGUUUACUUGGAAGGAUACUAUCAUGUGCCUCAUUAUAGUUAAGUUUUAAAGGUGUUAGCCAGUAGAAAAGAAAAAGAAAGGUCUGGGGCAAGGUUGAUACUCACCUCCAUGGAACUACCAUAACUUGCAGGAGAUAAAGGUUGCAGUGCAUGAUUGUUUCUCUCAAUUGCCCGAUGAUGCUGCAUCAGGGGUGCUGCAACAUGCCUCCUCAAACUGCUGGCGCUAGCAGGCUGAUGAAAGAGCAGAGAAAUAUCAGUUUAAAUGAACUUCAGAUUACACAAAAGUAAUGGGGAAAAUGUCAGUUCAUAAUUAAGCAGCAUCAGCAUAAAAUGGGUCAAAGAAUCAGGUACAUCAAAAUUUAGAUUCAGUGUGUCCUUUAAAAAACAGACAAGGAAGGAAAUUUUACAAAUAUAAAGUAUAAAUCACAGAUGCUGAAACAGCAUUUGUCAUUAAUAUAAUAAACGACAAGUCAACAAAGAUACGGUAAAGAAAGAAGAAAAAAAACUAAUAUUAUUAAUUAACCUAGUAGAAGUAGUAGUAAACAUUAAUCCCCAACAUCCUUCAAGGAUCAUCCAUCGCCAAGACAAAAAGAAGGAGUACCUGAUCGGGGGAACUGGGAGAAGCAUCAGCCAAAAAGUUGGAGAUGUCCGGAGCCCUGUGUUUAUGAAGGAUGUAAUGGUGGUGGCGGCGAAGUCUGGGAUCAGCGCCGACUCCGCCGCAAGCGGCAGCGUUGUUAGCAGAACGAUGAUGAUGCAUUUGAAAGAGUGGGAAAGAGUGGUUGAAUUCCCAGAGAGCCGCGGCGAGCUUUCUAGCAGAAAGAGAAAGAACGCUGCUGCUAUGGUUGUUGUGAGCCCAAGACCAAGAGGGCACUGGAGUAAAGGGGCCCCUACUUUUCCCUACCAAUACCCCUCGCCUUAACUUUUCUCCCAAUUUUUCCUCCUUUUCCGCUUCACCUUCCUCGCUUUUCAUCUCUCUCUACCACCUUUAUUUAUGGCUCUCUCUCUCUCUCUCAUCGACUUACCUGUUAUCUUUUCAUUUAUUAUUUUCUUUCCCCUUUUUGUUAUUGUUAAUACACGUGGGUGCGUCUAACACUGUGUCUGGCGUCCAAAUUUGUUCGGUGCGCUCUGCUACUAGUACUACUGCUUGAUUCAUUCACAAAUAACUAUAUUGUAAUCUCAUCGAUCUUAUUUUCUUGAGAUUAAUUACCCUCUUGUUUAUUUUGUAAGAAAUAAAAAUAAACCUCGUAUUUACGUUAUACUCAUCUUUUUUAAAAUUUUGAAUCAAGUUUUUUUAUAAUAAUUUUAUUAUUAAUCUAAAUCCUCUCUUAAAUUAUGAGAACGUGGUUUGUGUUUCCUUAUAAUACCAUUGAAGUUCCAGUUGAAUGAUACACCCAUUACGUUUGACCCUCAACAACAAAAGCUAAAAGUUAUAAGACAUUAAUGACCUGACCGAACUUCUUAUUCAUAAAAUUACUUGAAUAAUUUUUUAUGAGAUUUUAUUUAUAAAGUGUAUAAGAAGAAAUGAGAACAACUACUGUUAGGUGAUACGAUUAAAAUUGUGCUUUUAAACUUUUAAUUUUGAAGAUAUAUAUACGCGCGUGUGGAGGGAACAAUACAUCUUACUGAAAGUAACUAUUCAAGCCUACAAUGAAAUUAACGUAUAGGAUGAAUUUAUUUAUGUGUAAUACUUACAUAAAUAUAACUAACCAUUCUCGGUGGGAUUAUGAAUGUAGGAUACUGAUUUAAUCUUGUGUGGGGAUAGGUAUCUUCGUGUACCUUCUCCUAUCAUUAUUUUAUAAAUGAAUAGCAGUGAAAAUUAUACAUUAUAAAAAUAUAUUUAACUGACAUUAUUGAAAAAAUAUACUUAUAUCAUAGACAAUUUUGUAUAUCCAGUGAGAUGUCAUGUUGCUGUGAAUGGUAGUAGUAGCUAAUUUAAUAAGUAUGCCAAAAACAUCAAACUUUCUUGGGGAAAAAAUACAUUCAUAUGUAAUCAACUUUAAAUGUCAUUGAGAAACGAUGGAAGAAAGUAUCGAAAAAAAAAACGAUAGAAGAACCAAUAUUUAUCUCAAAAAUAUUAUUUUAUCUGUUUCUAUUUAUAAGGCCUGGAUUUAAAAUUUAUUUAUUUAUUUUUAUAAAACUUAACUAAUAAUGUUUUUUAUAUUAAUUAUUUUAUACUAAAAAUAUUCUUUAUUGGAAGAAGAGAAACAAUGUAUUGAUAAAUAAUUAGAAAAGAGAGAAAAAUUAAUGAUAAAGAUAAUUCUAAAAAUAAAUUAUAAAUUUAAGAUACAUUUAUUGGUAUAAACUAAAUAAUCAAUUUUUUUAAUGUUGAUGAAUUCAGUAAUUUGAGUAUAUAGAAAUGGAGGGAGCAUUCUUAUUGAAAAAUAGAUAGAUAGGUAAAUGACUUUAAAUCUUGUUAAGAAAAUAUACAUAUUAUAAUAUAAAUAUAUAAAUUUUGAAGAUUUAAAUUUAAAAAAAGUUUGUUAAAGAAAAGUAAAGAAAAAUGAUGUUUAGAUAAUUUAGUUCAUCAAAAUAGCCAACACGGAGUUGCAAUGGACAUUACUCCUAUAUGGUUGAAAUCUAUCUUGGUGAGGAGAAAAGUGAAAUCUAUUUUGGAGAGGAGAAUCACAUAUGUAUAAAAUAGAAAGUCAGAUAUUAAAUUAUAAAUUUAUGUCGGUGAUAAAUUUAAUUGUACAGAGGUAUAAGUAUACAACCGUUUACAACUAACUAGAUAUUUCAUUAAUUAACUUAUUGUUACUUUACUAUUUAUAAUAAUUAAAUUUAAAAUGAUAUUUAAUUUUUUAUAAGACUCCAUUUAUAAUAUUGUUUGUUUAUCAUCUUUUGUCACAUGAAAUAUGACAGUUUUUAUUUUUUAUUUUAUCUCACUUUUAAUUUAAUUAUUUUUUCUUUCUUUCAUAAAAAAAUUAUAUAUAAUUUAUCAUCCAUAACAACUCUUACCCUUCAUCUCGCACAACUCUCAUUUUUUAUCCAUCUUUCCUCACAUGAAACUGGAAUUGUAGACCAUAAUAUUAUUAUAUUUUUUUAUUCAUUUUUUAUUUUUAUCUAAUAUUUUGUGAUUUCUAACGUUAGUUUAUUGCGUUGAUACAUAUGCGAUCAUGCACAUUUAACUUAAGGGAUUAGUUUUUCAGUAUAGAUGUAUUUUUAUGAGUCUUUUAUUUUAAUUUUUUAAAGUAUUUUGUCCAAUGUGAAUACACAAUUUUUUGAAAAGCAUUCUUAUUUAAUUUUAUUAUGAUUGGAUUAAGUAUGAUAAUUACUUCUUUAAUCUCUUUUUUCAACUUUCUUUUUCUCUAUUUUUAUAAUUUCAUUGGUCUUUCAAUCUUAGGUUGAAAAUCUUUUUUCAUGAUUUUGUUAUAAGUUUUAAGGAAGGAAACUAACACGAUGUCGAGGUUGAACGAUAUUAAUGACUAACGAGGGAUUAAGAGAGCAGUUGAUAGGUAAAUUAGUCUAAUGUGUAUAUUAAAUGGGGAUAGUUUAUUAUUAUUAUUAAAAUUUUGUUAUGGUGGUAAUAUUUUAAGGAGAUGUUUACCUGGUAUAUCUAUGGAAACAUGUAAUAAGAAGUUAAUUGAAAAUAAUAUUUAUUUAUUUCUAUAUUAAAAUUUAAAUAUAAACGUAAUGUCUAUGUUAAUAUUUAUAAGUAAAAUCAGAUUUAAUUGAAAAUUGGAAAGUAUUUUUUAGAAUUAAAAUAAUAAUAUAUGAUUAAGUUUUUAAUUAAAAUAUCAAUAAGUGAUUAAGUUUUAAAAAUUAAAAUAAUAAUAAAGUGUUAAGCUUGGAAACUAAAUUAAAAAGUUAAUUAUUUUUAGAAACAUGAGAAUCACGUAAAAAAAUUUACAUCAAUGAGACAUGACAUGAAAAUGAGUCAAAUAAACAUAUACAUUAAAAGAUGUGUUAAUUUAUUAUACUUUUAUAUAUUCAUUUUUUAAUUCAUUUUUAUUUAAAAUAUUAAUAUGUGAGUCUUACACACUUUUAAAAACUAAAAUAGAUAUUUAUCUAUAAAUAAGUGGACAAAAUUAAUAAUGAAGUAUAUUUUUUUGUUAAAUUUUAAUAUAUUGCUAUAAGUAAGUUCUAAUGUUAGUAAAAGUAUAAAAAGAUUACUCCAUAUGUCUUUAUCUAUAAAGUCCAAUUACCUAAUUAACAAGAAAUGAGAAGAAUAAUUAAUUUAAUUAAUAAUAAUAAAUUUGUGUUCCAAUAAAAAAAGUAAUAGAUUUAUCCUCAAUUUAUAUAUAUAUAUAUAUAUAUAUAUAUAUAUAUAUAUUUUUUUUUAAAAAUUUAUUGUUGUUAAUAUUUUUUCUCUCUCACAAAUAUGUGUCAAUAUAACUUUUGACUAUUUAAUUAGGGAUAUUUUUAUAUAAAAAUAAAUCAUGCAAGAAACAAUUUUUUUGACGGAGAGAUUGAAUCUUAUAUAAAACAACAAUUAAUGCAGAAAAAUUGAUUGAAAGAUAAGGAUUGGGCCCGUGAACGAAGAUUUUCAAGUUUUUAAAGAAGGUCAAUUUCAUACAACACCAGAAACAAAAAAGCGCGUAUGUGAAUAAAAUACGGCGUUCUAUUUGGUGGUCAACUCGGUGCCCUCUGUUUCGUAGUCACAGGUAAGUAAGUUCUCCAUUUUGCUUUCCGAUUUUCUGAGUUUCUUUUCCCUUCCCCUUUCUGUCUUCUUAUGUGUCUCCUUUUUUUCUAGGAAUCAAAUCUCAGAACCACUAAGUGAAUCCGAUUCUUCUUCUUCCUUCACCAACCAUUGACGUUAAACAGGUGCUCUUCUUUUAUUUGCUUCCUCUCUUUCUUUGGUAAUCAUUACUUUUGCUUUCAAAUAUUCCUGCCGAUUAUGAGCACAACAUGCAAACUAAAUGACUGGUAAUGCCUGCCUCCUUUUUAACCUGCUCUUGUUAAAUUCAGCCACUCUCUAAUCAAUAUACUUAAUACUUAUUAUUAUUGUUUACACAAGACAAAUUUAUAUUAUUAUUAUUAGUCAAAGGCACUCAAAGGUUUGGGGUUAUAAGACUCAUAACAAAUUGUUGAGAAAAAGAGAGAUGCAUUUUCCAAUACGUUCGUCUUGCUGGACAUGUUUGUGCGUUGCGUGAGUGACUUGUUUUGACUGUGCGGGAGAGGUGCCGUCUUUCAAAAGAUUUGUUACCCUGAUUUGGAGUGUGUUUUCAAUGAGUACUUACGGUUUUCAUUUGAUUUUAUUAGUUUUCUGUUUUCUAUAUCAGAGUUACAUAACAUAAGAUUAAGAAUUUAAGAUAAAUGUUUCUGCAGAAAUUUAGUUGGAUCUGCUGUUAGUUGUGGAUUUUGGACUGUUGAAAUGGCUUCCAAUGCUACAUCUGGAAAUGCUUGCCCGCAGCCAAUGAAAGCCACAUCAAACGGUGCGUUUCAGGGUGACAAUCCACUUGAUUUCGCGCUUCCCCUGGCUAUUUUGCAGAUAUGCCUUGUUCUUGUAGUCUCAAGGGGACUGGCAUAUCUUCUUAAACCUUUAAGGCAACCUAGAGUUAUUGCAGAGAUCAUUGUAAGUUCAUUUCUUUUCUUUGAUUUUUAAUCAAUCUAAUUAACUUAGCUUAUAUUUUCUGGCUCAUAAUAUAAAUAAAUAGCAAACAGGAUUGACACAUCUGAUCGAGUUUUCUUCACACACUUGUGAUUUGGAUUCAAUUCUCAGAUUUCUCCUGUUUGCAAGUGAUAUUUAAAUUCUACUAUAAAUCCUCGCUAAGAUUGGGGGUCUUCUCUGACCUUGUGGGGGGUGUGCCUUCCCCUAAUAAACUUUUUUUUUCAAGAAAAAAAUAAAACUAGUUAUUUGAAUUAGUAAGAUCCAAUUCUUUUUCUCUGUUUAAUAGUUACAACUUACAAGAGAGUCCCUAGCAAAUAGGGCUAAGAGAGAGCAAUAUGACUCACAGGGAAUAAACCAUUCAUCAUUUGCUUCGUAAUCAAGUUGAAUUGCUACUAGUUCACGAGGCAAUUGGCAUAUGACAAGAGUUUUUCGUAUCCAAUUUCUAUAUAAUUUCAUAGUCUCCAGAUUUCACUGUGUUUCACUAGUCUAAAUGAGUUAUAUAUAUAAUGUGAAAGUUAUCGUGUAUAAUGCAAUGUGAUUUAAAACAAUUCAUAAGUCGGGGUAGAGAUGUUAGAGAAACACACAUGCCAAAAUAUGUACAAUGGUUUUAAAAUGUGUAAGACUGCUAUUGACAGGGAGGAAUAAUUCUCGGGCCAUCAGUGCUUGGACGGAACAAAAGCUAUAUGCAGAAAGUUUUCCCACCCAGGAGUCUUCCAGUAUUAGACACUUUAGCAAACAUUGGCCUUAUAUUCUUUCUAUUCUUAGCAGGCCUGGAGUUAGAUCUUAAAUCUCUGCGUCAAUCUGGAAAUCGAGUCCUCGCUAUUGCUAUGGCUGGAAUAAGCCUACCCUUUGUAAUAGGAAUUGGUACGUCAUUUGUUCUAAAGCAAACUAUUGCCAAAGGUUCAGAUAAUGCCGCAUUCCUUGUAUUUAUGGGUGUUGCUCUGUCCAUAACUGCAUUUCCCGUAUUAGCCCGUAUUUUGGCCGAGUUGAAACUUCUAACCACAAAUGUUGGCAAAACAGCUAUGUCAGCUGCAGCAAUUAAUGAUAUAGCUGCCUGGAUUCUGCUUGCUCUUGCUGUUGCCUUGUCAGGUCAUGAUCGAUCUCCACUCGUGUCAUUGUGGGUCUUCUUAGCUGGGUGUGGUUUUGUCAUUUGCGCAAUCCUUAUUGUCCCUCCGAUUUUCAAAUGGAUGAGCCAACGAUGCCAUGAAGGUGAACCAGUUGAAGAGGUAUACAUAUGUGCUACAUUAGCUGCUGUUCUGGCUGCUGGGUUUGUCACAGAUGCUAUAGGAAUCCAUGCCAUGUUUGGUGCUUUUGUUGUCGGAAUUUUGGUUCCAAAUGAUGGACCGUUUGCCAGUGCUCUAGUGGAGAAAGUAGAGGAUCUAGUGUCUGGUCUAUUUCUUCCUCUUUAUUUUGUUUCAAGUGGAUUGAAGACUAAUGUAGCCACCAUCAAGGGGGCGCAAUCAUGGGGUCUUCUGGCUUUUGUUAUAUUUACAGCUUCGUUUGGGAAGAUUCUUGGGACUCUUUUUGUUUCACUUUUCUGUAAAGUUCCUUUUAAUGAAGCUUUGGUGUUGGGGUUCUUGAUGAAUUGCAAGGGCUUGGUUGAAUUAAUAGUCCUCAACAUCGGUAAAGAUAGAAAGGUAUUUCAAUAUUCUUGCUCUCACUAUUCCCUAUAAUCUGUUUAACAAGGUGCGUUUUCCUUAUCUAUUGUCAUGAUGGAUAUUUAAUAUAUCAUGCAUUUUGCAGGUUUUGAAUGAUCAGACCUUUGCCAUUAUGGUUCUUAUGGCUGUCUUUACUACCUUCAUCACCACUCCUCUCGUGACUGCUGUGUAUAAGCCUGCAAGAAAGGGAAAAAUAACAAAUUACAAAUAUAGAACAAUUGGAAGGAAAAAUGCAAAUAGCCAACUGAGGAUUCUUGCCUGCUUCCAUGGUGCAAGAAAUAUUCCAUCGAUGAUAAAUUUGAUUGAGGCUUCAAGAGGAAUACAGAAGCGUGAUGCACUUUGUGUGUAUGCAAUGCACCUUAAAGAAUUCUCUGAGAGGUCCUCAUCAAUGUUAAUGGUACACAAGGCAAGAAGAAAUGGGUUGCCAUUCUGGAACAAAGGCCAUCAUGCAGAUUCUAACCAUGUUAUUGUGGCAUUUGAGGCUUACAGGCAACUAAGCCAAGUGUCUAUUCGGCCAAUGAUUGCAAUCUCAUCUAUGAACAACAUACAUGAAGACAUUUGUGCAACCGCUGAGAGGAAGGGAGCCGCAGUCAUUAUUCUUCCAUUUCAUAAGCAUCAAAGAUUGGAUGGUUCACUAAAUAUCACCAGAAAUGAUUUUCGAUGGGUUAACAAAAGGGUACUUGAGCAUGCACCAUGCUCAGUUGGAAUUUUUGUUGAUCGUGGGCUUGGUGGUACAUCCCAUGUCUCCGCAAGUAAUGUUUCUUAUCGUGUUACAGUGCUUUUCUUUGGUGGUGGUGAUGAUCAUGAAGCCCUUGCUUAUGGAGCUCGUAUGGCUGAGCACCCUGGCAUCAGAUUGCUGGUUAUUCGCUUUGUAGGGGAACCAAUGAAUGGAGAGAUUGUAAGAGUUGAUGUGGGUGACUCCACUAGCACCAAAUUAAUCUCACAGGAUGAGGAAUUCCUCGAUGAAAUUAAGACGAAAAUAGCCAAUGAUGACUCCAUCAUCUAUGAAGAGAAAGUAGUAAAAGAUGGUGCAGAAACAGUUGCUAUUAUCCGUGAGUUGAAAAGCUGCAAUCUGUUUCUUGUGGGUUCAAGGCCAGCCAGUGAAGUUGCCAGUGCUAUGAAAAGAAGUGAAUGCCCUGAACUUGGACCUGUUGGUGGUUUGUUGGCAUCACAAGAUUACCCCACAACUGCAUCCGUUUUGGUGAUGCAACAAUUUCAAAAUGGGGCGCCAAUAAAUUUUACUAUCUCGGACUCAGAAAUGGAGGAACACGUACCUGAUCGGGAUUCAGAAUCUGCUUAACGGUUCUCUAGGAUCGCACCAACUUGUUUGGGCUUUUCUGAACUCCAUGCAGCUUUGCUUUACAGUAGUACUUAAUAGUUCAAAAUUUUAUUUUCCUUAGAAUUGGAAUUGAUUUAGAAUUGGAAUUUUUAUUAUAGGACUGAGUUGUGCAAAGAUUUAUGGUGUAAAAUUAGGAUUCUAGCAUCAAUUCCAAUUCUAUUUUGUAGUUGUAAAAUCUAUAAUAGUAAUAAAGGUAUAUCCCAGUAUAUUUUCCACUUUUCUUUAGAAUCUUUUACCCUUUAAUUGUUAUUACAUACCACUUCACUAUUCUAUUUCAACUUCCCACAUUAGUUACAUUGAUUACAAAAAUUGCACAUUAGUUAUAUGGGUGUAACUUCAUCCCUUUUCAUUUUUGAAAUUCAUACCAAAUUUCAUUUUUAUUUUUCAAAUUAUUAUAGUGGAGUAAAGGUUGGGUUGAAUGGUAUUUGUUGGAACUAGGGAGUAGGGUAAUUCUCUGCCAGACUUAGAAAGAGGGAGGUUUUAUUUUGGUAAGCCAAAUUAAAGGAGGGAGGUAACUGAUCGGAUGAUAUGAGAUUUGAAGAAAUUGAAUGAAAUCGAUUCGGAUGAUGCAGGUCGAUGCAAGGAUAAAAUAAUUAAAUAAUUAAAGUUUGAUUUUAAGAUAUAUUAAUGCUUGUUAUUAAUUUUUUUCAAGUAAAAAAAUACACGUGUUAAAUAAAAGAUUUCACAUAUCAAAUUUUUUUUUGAAGUAGAAGAAAUCUCUUAUAAUUUUUACUUUAUGUCUCAUUUUUUAUUGAACCAAAAUUAAUAUUUUUUUGUUUUACGUUAAGAGUUCACAAACGUUCUUUAAUUCUCUGUAUUAGAGGCUAAUCUUAUUUAUGAUGUAUAACUAUUAUUCAUUCAAUAAAAUUUUACACGUAAUAAAAUCAAACAUAAAUUCUUUUAUUGCAUAAAUCAUUCCUAGUCAUAUAAAAACAAUAGCUUACAUGGCACAAAAUCAUGUUUGUCUACACAUAGAAAAGCUUGUCAUCAUUUACCCAAUUUUCUUAUCAUUUAUUGGUUAUGAUUUCAAACCUGUUGAAUUACCAAACGAUUAGCUGAUGUGACAAUAAAACUAAUAACGUGAUUUUAAUCCGACUUCUAGUUGGUGAAUGGGGAUGAAUUCAUUGAGCGGAACAUUAACAAUGUUGUAGUGGCUUAAAAUCUAUUUGCGAAUUAAAAUUUGAUGAUUGCUACAUUAGUACAUUAGCAAGUGGGAGUUGUAGUUCUGUAGUACAUAGUUUCCCCCAUUUCUAGUUAUUUAAUUCUUAAUUUAUUAUUUUAAUCUUAAAAAAUAACUAUAAUAUAAUAUAAUACAAAAUAAAAACAUAUUAUAAGUAUUUAGACUAAAUUAUUUUGAGAUUGAAAAAAUCGAAUUAAAAAUAUAAUUUUUUUUUAAAAAAUAAAAUUAUUUUCUUAAAAUAUUGGUUUGGUUUAUAAAGCACGACUUAUUAGAGAUUCAUGAGUCAAAACAUUUUUGAGUUGAGUUGGACUAAUAGUGGCAUAAAUUUUUUAUAUCUCUGUCCUUGGUGAGCUGCAGCUUAAACAAGUUGUUGGUUCAUGAACCACUUAUAUUUAAAAAAUAAAUAAUUAUAAACAUUAAAAUCAAAUUAUUAUAUAUAUAUAUAUAUAUAUAUAUAUAUAUAUAUAUAUAUAUAUAUAACAUGUCAAUAAUUUUUUUAAUCUCUAUAAAUUAAAACAGAAAAUUAUGGAAGUAAUAUCUUGUAUUUUAUAUUAUUUUAGUGUUUCUAUAAUAAUAUAAAAUAUAAUAGUUGUCAUUUGUACUAUAAAAUAACAAAAGAUAAUACAUAAUAAUAUAAAUAAAAGAGAGUGCAUCAAUCAUAACAAUAAAACAAAUGCUGGAAAUUAAAAUAUCUCUCUCUCUCUCUCUCUCUCUCUCUAUAUAUAUAAACAAUUAAUCUUAAAAUAGAAAUUAACACACAUAUAAUAGAAAUUAACAACACAUGUAAUAUUAGACUUAUUAUUUAAACAAAUAAACACCAAGCAAAAUAAGUUACCCUAAUAUAACCUAUUUGGUUAAAUUGAGCUUAGCCACCAUAAAAUAAAUUCAGCUUGAAUUCUUACAACUCAAUCUACCUGAUUCAUGUUAUUUGACUCAUAGUGUCAAUGCAUUAAAUUUGAGACCCCUACUUUUUUUAUCCGUAUUUGAGCACCUACUCUAAGUGUAGCAUGGAAUUUAGAAGAUGAAUUCUGCACCAACCACACAGUUCGGGUUUUACAAAAACAACCUUGACCAGCUAAAAAAAAUCUUGAUGGCCACCUUAAUUGACUAGCUAUAACAUUUAUCUUCCUUUAUUUAUAUUUAAAAUUUAGAGUUAUUUUCUUUGAAUCCACACGUAAUCUAAUCAAGACCUAAUAUUAUAGGAGAGGGUCCCUAAUUUCUCUGGUGCCUCGCCAAUCAUGAGCAUGCUUGGAAUUCCGUUGAAUCAAGCUUGAACGGACGUUGGCAAAAGGCACUCCUAGUUAUCUUUUGAUUUAAACGGACGUUUGGAAGGUAAUGAACGGAAUUUCAAUUUUCAAACAUGCACCAUCUUGCUAGUCGUAGACGUUAAGCUAACCAAAACAAGUUCUUUUUUGCUUCAACACAAACAGACUUGCACAAACUUCACGUAUAUAUGUUGAGCUGGAAAGUCUUUAAUUAUUUGCCACUUGCUCCUCAUCACCCAUUGCUUUAUGCGUCUAUUUAAUUUGCUCCCUAUCAAUCUCAACUUCAAAGUCCAAUAUCUUGCAUUGACACUAGUUACAAACUAUUAAUUUCAACAACGAGACUCAUUUUCAUCUAUUUUCCUAUUGUUCCUCUUCUCGUUCGGAUCUUCCACUACUCCAACCACCAGUUGGAGAAAAAAGGUUCGUGAGCCAUGCCAGAAGUAAGUUUUUUACUUUCACGACAUUAUAUACAAUGGUCACAACUCAGAGAAUGCAACUGCGGCCAUUGUGGGUGCACCCACAUGGGCCAAUAGAACAAUCUUGGCUGGGCAGAACCAUUUUGGUGACUCGCCCCAAGUUGGACGCGCUCAGGGAUUUUACAUGUACGACAAGAAAGACGUUUUCAAACUGCUUGGCUUGGUUUUUCCUUGGUGUUCAAUUCCACCAUGCACAAGGGUACCAUAAACUUUGCUGGUGCUGAUCCUUUGAUGAACAAUACCAGAGACAUUUCGGUUAUUGGUGGGACUGGUGACUUUUUCAUGGCAAGGGGAGUGGCCACUCUGAGCACGGAUGCUUUUUCAUGGCACGGGGCUUAUCCAAGGCAGGAGCAGAGGAAGGAAGUGCCAUAGAAAUUAGAAAUGCACUCUCACUUACACUCACAUUCACUCCACUCUUCUUCUUCUUCCUCUUCCUCCUUCCACUCUCCGCACCUCAACUUUCGCCACCUCCCGAAAUGAAACCAAAUUUCCAACGCAAGCUUACAGGAAUUCCAACAAUUCGCCUGGAUCACUUGCUCACAUCUCCAAUUGGAAAUUCUCCUUGCCUCCUCCUCCUCCUCCUCCUCUUGUUUCUUCUUCUGCUCCUGCUAUUACUAAUUUAUCCACCAAACUUCUCAACUUUAUGCUGCUCUUCGGCUUCCUCACACUUCAAGAUUCUUAUCCAGCACUUGCUUCUUCUUCUGACAUUUCCACUAUAUUUGGGGAUAUUGGUGACUUAAGCACAGGUUUUGCUUCAGUUAGGAAAAUCUCCCUGUCACCUUUUUUAAUUACAAUGCGUUAAAAAAUAAAAAGCGGACAAAUGAACCGUAAUUUGAUGUAUUGCAAUUGACAAUGGAGAAUGCAGCUUUUCUUUACCAUUACUUAAACAUUUAUUAUUACUUAUGUGAUUUAGAGUGUACUCUACCAUUUUAUCUAGAAUCACUUGGAUAUAAAUUACUGCGCUACUCAAAAACAAUAUACUUUUGCUUCUUUUAUGCUCCGUCACAGGCGUUUCUGCUAAUAUUUUUCUCUGAACUGGGAGACAAGACCUUUUUCAUUGCAGUAAGUGCACAUUAAUCGCAUUAUCACUAAGCAAAUAACACGAUCCUAUUGAUUUGGGUGUUUGAUGUUUUAUGCAGGCGCUACUAGCAGCUAGGAAUUCAGCUGGUGUUGUUUUUAUUGGAACAUUUGGCGCACUUGCGUAUUUUUUAUUGUUUCACGGUGAUUUAAAUGUCCUUGCACUUUAUUUUUUGACUUGAUGGCGUUUUUUUGUGACAAAUUUAAUUUUUAUUCACUGACACGGUCAAUAAGAAAUAAUCUUAGAUAUGAAUUUUUAAAUAGUUAUUGUUAAAGUCAAUAAAUUUAUCAUAUUUGAUUAAAUGACAAUAUAAAAAUACCUUUACCCAUUCAAUGUAUUCUAAUUAAAUUUGUUUAUGAUUACUCGCCAUGCAUAUAAGUCUAUUCAAACAACUAUGGUGAAAAUAUUCACAACCUAGAAUGGUAAAAUCCUGCAGGGAGUUGGCUUGUGGACAAUAUUAAUAGACUUUAAUGGUUUUUUUUAUGUACCUUCUGGAAAGGCAAAGUGGUGCAUUUGUACAGAAUUCUUCUGGCUUAUGUUGUGUCUAGAAGUAAAAGAACCAUAUCAACGUUUACGGAGUGCCACUUUUAUAAAUGCUAAUUUUUUUUUAUUUAUAAGAUGCAUGUAUCUUCAGUUAUACACUUCUCUUUAAAUCGUUAAUAUUAGAGUUUAUUUGUUAUUGGCAGGGCAAUGACUCUGAUAUCUGUUGUCCUUGGACGAACUUUUCAUUAUGUUGAUGAAAUCUUGCCAUUCAGGUUUUUUCUUAUUUCCUUGAUUCAUUUAUGAACUGUGUGCUUAUAAAUAUGAUUUGGCCAUACUGGGAGAGUGAAAAUAAUUCCAAACUUCCAAUCAUUCUUCACAUGUUUACAAUUAAAUAAUAUGAUUAACAUUGUCUAGGAUAUGGUUUGAAAAUAACUCGAAAUGUUGUUUUUCAACCUUUACGAACCUUUGACCAACUAUGAAACAGUUUUAUCAUAAUACAACGUCAAAUUUCUUCUUAACACAUAUUUAAUCAUUUGCAAAAAAUUAUUUGCUUGUGACGCAUACAUAUCUUUAGUUUGUUGACGUUCUUCCUUGUUUUCUAUAAAUGUCGUUACUUCUGUGCCUUCCUUUGGGUUCGGGUCUAAAACCAUGUAACGUGAAGUCAUUAAUCUGACUAUGAAAGACUUUUCAAAAACUUCAUCUAAUAGGUUGCUUUGCACAGGUUUUGAGAAACUGAUUUACCUAUUGAUGAUAUUGCUGCUGUUGGCCUAUUGGUAAAUAUCACCUUCAUGUGUAGUAAAAUGCUUACAGACUAAUAGUGUUUGCUAUGGCACACAUUAUUUACAUUUUCUGUUUUAGAUUUACCCUCUCUUAAGUUGUACUGAAUUGACUUCAGGUGUACUUUGGGGUCUCUACCCUGCUGGAUGCCUCAUCCAGUGAUAGCCAAAAAUCCGAUGAAGAGCAGAAGGAGAUAAUAUUUGGUAUCUAAUCAUCAUUUACUGCAGCACAAUGUGCCUACAUGAAUAUUGGUUUAAGCUCAGUUUUUUUAUUCUUCACUUUGAACUGGUUCACAAUAUUUUAUAUGGUUCCUACAAUUUAAUGUUUCCGUUCUUAACCAGGCAGAGCUAGCAGUUUCCGAUUUUUCUGGAAAUGGGGCUGGGAUACUAUCAGCUGCCAGCACAGUUGCCAGUACUUUUCUCUUGGUUUUUGUUGCUGAAUGGGGCGAUAAGUCAUUUUUCUCCACAAUUGGUGAGUUCUAAAGUUAGAAAUUUUGGUUCACAAAAACUAACUGUUAUAUAUGGACCACUUAUAAUUAUAACACCUUUCUUCUCAUUAGUAUCAUUCUUUUAUGAUAUUGACAGAAAUCUUGCUCUGAAAUCCCUAUUAAACAAACCAAUGUAUAAAUAAAUAAAUAUUGAUAUUGACAAAUCUUGAAGAUAACUUAUCUGCUUGUCCUGUAAAGAGUUGAGUGUCAAUUGAUUUGGAUCAGUACAAUUUCAGUUUAUAUAAUUUUCUUGUUGAAUUUUCAUUUUUUUUUCAAAUACCAAGACAUGUUAUCUUGCUUCUUGUCAUGCACUGAACUCAUCUUCAAAGAUCCUGAAUUAUUUUUCCCCUACUUUUCAGCCCUAGCAGCAGCUUCUUCUCCCCUUGGAGUCAUAGCUGGAGCACUGGCCGGUCAUGGUGUUGCAACUUUGGUAACUCUUUUUUCAGUAAUAAAUUGAUAGAACUUCUAAAUGUGGGGAUCUGCUCUUUCAAAGUAACAGUAAAUGCUUUGUUUAACAUUGACAUGCAUGAUAAUAUUUAAUUUAAGCUUCUGGAACAGUAUACGAAAAUUGGAUUUGCCAAAAUCUGCAACUGAAGGGCAACAAAGAAAAAAGGAAAUAUAUUAAUAAACUGGCCGUAAAUACAGGCCCAGUGCAAAAUGAGUUGCUGAUUACUUGUACGGUUGUACCCAUUUUCUAAGUGCUCUUUGAAGUUUAAACAAACACUUUCGUGAUGGCUUUUGAUAAUUUAUUCUAAAACAUCUUACUCGAUAAUAUAAAAAUAGCUAAAGCAGGUCUCAAGCUAUAUUUUUGUUGUUUCCUGAUACGUGAGAAGCUAUAUUUAAUACCCACAACAAGCUCAAAAUAAAUAAAUAGUGAAAAUGAGGCUAUCUGAAGAAGACCUUGGCAAUUUUGGUAGAGUUUAAUUCAUGUGAUUCAUAUUUUCUGGACCGACUGUCCUUUCACACAUUCAAUUUGCAAUAUCUUUGGGCUCUUAUAUUCUCAAUGUAUCUUUUACAUAUAUGCUGCAGCUAGCUGUACUUGGGGGUUCUUUACUUGGGACGUAUUUGUCAGAGAAGGUAACUUCUUGCUUGAUAUGCUGUAUUUUGUUGGUUCCAAUCUCAUGGUUCUCCCUGUUGAGUAACCCAACCAGAUUUUAUAAAUAUGAAACUCUCUAGACAUUUGCUAUCAUCUCAAGCAGAUAACUAACCAAUUUAACCAAAAGGGCGUAAUACUAGGGAAAAUAGCUGAAAUUGAGUUAUGAUCUUUAACAUGCUUUUCUUAAAUCGUUGCUACUUAUAGAAUCUGGCUCAUGGAGCUCUUCUGUACAUAAUUUUCUGCAAUGGAAUUCCACUAUUCCUGCAUAAAAUAUAUAUGAUUGCUACGAACAGUGCAAUGUUAGACGUUCAUCUAGUGGGCCUUAUUGGGAAUGAAUAUGUUCUUUCACCCGGAUAAUAUAUAUAGCCAACUGAAGUCUCCAUGCUGGUUUGUAUUAAGAUUUAAGACUAAAGAGCACCUUAUUUUAAGCGUACGAAAAUGCGGAUGCUCUUAUAAUCACACAUUUUAUAUUCUGUAGAUAGUGCACUACAAUUGAAGCUCGGACCUACAUUUGUGUUUCUGUUUUGGAAUAUUACCUUCAUGCAGCCAUAAACUAAAAACACCGUUUUUCAUUCCUUUUGAAGGUUAUUGCCUACAUCGGAGGUGUUCUCUUUCUCGUCUUUGCGGCAAUAACCUUAUUUGAAAUUGUGCAAUAGGGUUAAAGGAAAUGCAAUAUAAUCUCGGUGCAAAGGGCUCAAGAACGUAAUGACCUCUAGAGUUGUAUGAUUCUGCACUCCCAUUAUUAAUGGCGGCCCCAGAAGGGGAAAAAAAUGUAUAAUACAGCAUCUGUUUUAGGAAUAGUUUAUUACCUUUUAAUGCAAGCCUCAUAAAUUAUGUCAUGCUAGUCAUUGAAAUUUUGUUAUUUCAUUUUAAACGAACAUUUUAAAUACAUAAAUUAUAAAUUAUGUGAAAAAUGACUUAAUUGUUGAUAAUUAUUCCGUGUAGUAUACCAGUAUUAGUAAAUGAACAUGAAAUGUAAAAAGUAUUAUAUAUUUUAAGAAAGUUUCUUUUUUAUUAGUAAUCAAAGUUAUCAUUUUUAUUAGUUUAAAAAGCAUUUAAUUUUGGAAAAAAUUAAAAUUAGUUUAGUUAACGGAAUAUUAUUUGAAUAAUAAUUUAUCAAUGUAAGUCAUUUAUCUAACGCGGAGGUGUGUAUUACGAACAUAAUUGGGGUGUCAACUAAGACCCUCUAUUAAAGAAAAUAACUAUGAGUUAAUAUGUAAACUAAUAAGAAGGAGGAAAUAUAGAUUUAGGAACUAUUUUUUAAUUUUGUCUAUUUCGGAUAUUAAUAUAAGUUUGAUAUCAAAUUCAAGGAAUAAACUUUAGCAUCUAGCUAGAACUUUUCACAUUUGGAUUUAAAAUCUUUAAAAUAGUUUCUGCACAGAUACAAAAAUCACUUAGGAUGCUUCAUCAAAUAAACAAAGAAGACCACUUAAUGGAUCGAGCAACAUGAAUAACAGCAAAUUAUAAAUUCAAAGAUGUUUUUCUUUUGUUUCAUUAAAUUAGUUACGAUAGUACACUUAAAAUAAAUAAUUACAAUAGUGACUAAUUUCCGCCAAAUUUAAGGAUCAAAAUGUUAGCUUACCCAUUUUCUUGAUAAAAAUUGUUUAACUGUGAAGUUGAAUAAAAUAUUAAAUUAAUGGAAUAAUUUGUUAAAUUUGGAUUAUCUUUACAAUAAUAAUUUAAUACUAUAAAUCAAGAUUUUUAUAACAAUAUUUAACCAUUUUAUUUAAUAUAACAAGUGAAAUUUUUAAAUAGAAGUUUGUAAUAAAUACCAUUUAUGAAAAUUUAAAAUAAAACCAGUGUCUUUUAAUAAUAAUAAUAAAAAAUUAUGAGAAAGAUUUAAGCUUAAAAGUAGAUACUACACACAUAUUGCUAGUACGGGUGAAGCGAUUUGUAGUAUAACUGAGAGUAUGUUUGAGAUGACACGGUGAAAAAAAAAAUUGUGAACCUAUAUAAACUAUUAUAAACUAAGAAUUUGAAGUGAACCUAUAUAAAUUAAUAGCUUUGAGGGGCUGAGAAAAUGACUUCGAUCCUGAACAAUAAAUACUUUGUUAAAAAAUAGAAGUUGCUCUGUUACUCGUGUCAACCAAAGUUGAUAACUUAAAAAGGAAUAAAAAAACUUAGCUUAAUUUUCAAGGCUAAAAAAACUACACGGCCAUUACCUGAAAUGAUGAUGGCUUUGUCGUUCGAUCAUCAAUGUCUUGUGUCGCCCUCCUCUCUACCCUUUUUUCCAUAAAAAAUUCAUAAUCCCAAUGUGUCGAAAGUCAAAACCCUAGCUAGAAUCGUUCCCCAAGCUCUGCGGAAACAACAUAAUUAAAUCACUUCAAAUUGAGGAAUUACUAUUAAUUACAGCGAGGUAUUAAAUCUUAAUUCCUCUUUAAUUCGCCGUUGAUCUUGUUCAUCUACGACACUAUGCUGUUAUGUUUUUCGAGUCAAUCAUUUGUGUGCCUUUUCCAUCUCAAUCUUAUUUAUUUGAUUUGCAUUUGCUGAAUGAACUUGGAGCCGUUAACUGAGAUAUAUUUUUUUCUCGGUCUCUGCUCUACGCUUUGUAGGUAGGUUAUUUUAUGUUGAGUGAAGGAUUCUGAAUUUCAAGGUAACCUAUGGAAGAUACCUGGCUUUCACUUUCCAUAUAAUUUCCACAAAGACAAACUAUAUUUUGUGUUAAUUCAAAUUCUCUGUUUCUAUUUUAUUUGUUCUGUUUGUGCAUAUUUUUUUGUUUUCCUCAUCAUAUGGUAUGCUUGAGGAGUCAUUUUAUAUUUUGGUUUGAAUCUGUUAUAAGAAUCCUGUUUUUUUUUUUUCUUGAAAAAAUGUAAAUUAUAUUAAACUCAAAAUGAUACACCAAUAAACGGGGCAUAUCCCACAAUUACACAAAAUCAAAAGUCUUCCUAAUACAAGAAAAAUUAUAUCAAAAUGCUAAAAUAAAUACAAUAAAUACGUUUAUCUAUACAUAAGAAACUUAAUUUUACUAAUAACCUUUAUUUUAGGGAUUCAGAAGUGCAAAAAAGGGAAGAAUUUAACCAAUAUAUUUUUCUAGUGCAUUAGACUCUAGACCCUGUGAGUUUUACUUGUAAUGCGGAUCAAAUCUUUGAGUUGUCACUUUGGGGGAAAUUUUACAAAACUGCCCCUGUAACUUUCCCUUGUGGCAGCAUCUGAGAGAGUGAGUGUCCAUCCCCAAUUGAAUUGGCUUGUUAGGGGGAGAUAUUACAUUUCAAAUUUUUAAGGAAUAAUUAAUAAUGUUGUUAUUGUUCAAAAGUAAACUUCUGUUUCUGAUCUCUAAAAUAACAGCCCUGCCUCUGAUACUCAAAAUUAAAAUGUGGAACAUGAACCAAGAAUUGAGUCACUGGUUUUCGUCUUGGUUUUCUUAUUUUAUUGAGACUUGGAUAUCUUUUUCAAUCAAUUUUAUUGUUUAACUGCUGAGUGUUAUAAAUAAAAAUAUCAAUUUUAAAUUAUUGUUCUUAUUGGAUCAAGCAGUUUUUUUUAAUAUAUAUUUGUGUUCUUUUGCCUUAUUGGAUCAAUGGUGAUUGCAAUUUGUUAUAAUGAGUUGUUAACGUUUAUAAUAAAAUUUGACCGUGUGUUUAAUCAGGUUUAAAUAUCAUAAAAUAAAAUUUUAAAAAAAAUAUAAUAUAACAUUAUAAUAUUAAGGAUUUAUGAGAUCAAGCGAUUUAAUUUGGUCUAAAAUGAAUUCAAUUCAAUGGUGAUUGCAAUUAGUUAUAAUGAGUUGUUAACGUUUUUAAUAAAAUUUGACCGUGUGUUUAAUCAAGUUUAAAUAUCAUAAAAUAAAAUCUGUAAAAAUAUUAAAAUUUUAAAUAUAAUAUAACAUUAUAAUAUUAAGGAUAAGGAUUUAUGAUGAAAAAUAUAAUUAUUUUUAACAAAUAAAACAUAUUACAAAAAAAAAUCUGUAAAAAAUGUUACAAUUUUAAAUUUAACAUUAUUAUAGAGAUCAACCGGAUUAAUUUAGUCUAAAAUGAAUUCAAUUCAUUAUCAAUUAAUGGUGAUUGUAAUUAGUUAUAAUGAGUUGUUAACAUUUUAAAUAAAUAAAUGCUAAAAUAAUUCUUAGAGACUAUAAUUAAAAACUUGGAGACUUCCUAUGUGAGUAGAUAAUCUUGAGCAGAAAAUUUUAGAUGCAACUCAAUUGGCAAGAUAGAAAGAUAAUAACUACUACAAUCUCCUUAUUCGUCGUAUAAGUAACGCAGAAGCAUAGUUUUCAAGCCGUUCCUCAUUUUUAUUUUCAUUUAUAAAAAAAAUCACUUUUAUAUUUCCACUGAGAAGCUAGCCGGGGUAAUGCAGUUCUGUCAUUUGGAUGACACAACCAAAUUAAACAGGUAGAAAUCUAUGGUACUCAACUGCAGUCAAUUAAAACUUGGAAACAAUCAAAAUGCAUACAGAGACAUACCGUCUAUCAAAACCAAAAGUAAAGCACAGAACCAACAAAGUAUGUAAAGUAAUGAAGUUCCUAAAACAUCCAUAAAGCAAAACUAGCAAAUCAAGCAUCCACCCUUUCCUCCUCCAAGAUUAGAGUCUUUCCUGUUGGUUUUGCCAGUAGAUCUGUGUACUCUUGGAAUGGAGAUUUGGAGAAGCGAGUCUCCUUCCAGAAUUCUGGUGUCAGGAAUCCAUAGGUUUUCAUCAAGCAAUCAAAAGUAGCCUGUCAAAAAUACAAAGCAACAUCAUUAUGGGUACUAAAACAAUAUUAGAGCAAUUCUUUCAUGGACAUUAGCCUCUAUACCAAAGGAUCAUGCACAUAGAUACACACUGGCCUCUCUAACAAAGGAUCAUGCACAUAGACACACGAGUAACAAAUCACACAAGUGAUCCAUGAUGCAUUUUGAAUGCCUUCAAUUGCAGCAAAGACACCAUAGACUAACUUACAUUGAGAAAUAGUGCCUCAAAUACAUUAAAAUCAAUACUAAAUAGUGCCUCGAAUAUUAAAAGAUCUUUCAAAUGGGGCUCCAAACUUUACUAAAAUACAUUAACAUAGGUACUGGGUGAAGAUUAUUCAAUAAUCAAUACUUAGAAAAUUACUCAAAUAGUUUUAUUGCUUUAGAAACUACUUAGAAGAAACAGUAAUACUUCAGAGACAAAAUUGGUAGUUUAUUCAAACACAUUCAUACACAAAAAGCCAUACAAUGGAACUACCUCUCUUGAAGAGUAGACUGUCUUCUAAGUUAGAAACACAGGCAAAAGGUAGAACAGUAGAACUAUACAUGAAUUCCGUAGUCUAAAACAUCCUCAUCAACAAUCAAUAACGAAACAUUCAAACAAAAAGAAAACGAAUUAUUCCAUUAAACAAAGAUAAUCCAAAACACAAAAUCAAAACAAAGCCCAUCAGAAACACUCAAAUACGAUAAAUAAAAAUUCACAUAAAAAAUAUAAAACACAAAGGUUUCAAAUUGAACUCCGCAAUUGCAACUGUGACAAUUUUUUCCCCAAUUUCAACACUCACGCAUUGCAGACAAUAAUCGCAAAAAACCUCGAAUGAAUUUAAAAUAAAUAAAAAUUAAAAUCCACAUAAAUAAGAAAAAAUUAAUUGUCACAUUUGAAGCACGACCCUAAUUUGCCCUAAAUUUUUACAAUGUCGUCGGCAAUCUAAAAUAUGAAAAGUAACAAAUUGGUAAAAAAAUACACAAACCUUAACGAAGUUGCCGAGGGUCUUGGUGGAUCCUCUGGAGGAGGUGAAAACAUCAUCAAUCCCCGCGAACUGCAGCACCUUCUUGGGAACCCUAGCCGCCACGAUCCCCGAACCUCUCGGCGCGGGAACCAUCCUAACGGUAACGGAGCCGCACUUCCCCGUAACCUUGCACGGGACGGUGUGGGGCUUCCCG